rnacentral:misc_RNA from 1 species
AUACUAUAUAAAGAGAUUUGUUAAAGUGAGUUGUGUUCAAUUCAGCAAAGGAGGGAUAUAAGGUUCAAGAAUAUGUUCCCAGAAAAAAAGGAGUGUACUUCUCACAAAAAGGUCAAACCCAAAAAGCGCUGGAGCACCACCACACUGGGCCAAUAAAUACAAACGAGUAUGAAAAAGAUGACAGAAAAAGGGGGAAAAUCUUUUCAAAUAGAAAAAAUACUGUUUUCUCAAAGGCAAUGGCUUUAGCAAAUGUGUGCGGUUAACAUACAAAUUGAGUGGAAAGGAACAAUAUUCACUUGGAGUUCAAAGAAAAAAUCAUCACCAAAGACAGGCAGAAAACCUUCAACUUCUACAUCUACUUCGAAAUCUCUACUUAAGUCUUCAACCUCUGCCUGUACUUCGCAAUCUCUACCUCAGUCUUCAACCUCAUCUUCAGAUUGUAAAACGCUAUCUACACUUCAAAACCUCUUCCUCCUGCGCCACCUCAUCAUCUGUCUCCAAAAUUCCAGCUGAAAUCCGAUUAAAACAUAGAACAUAAGGAGGAAAACAAAACAACAACUAACAGCACGAUGACGACAAAAAUACCAAGGACUGCAAGAGCAACGACAACAUCAACGAGAACAAUGACGACGGGGACACCAACAUUGACAAAAACGGUGACAACGAGGACAAAAAGACUGAUAAAACAAAAUUAUCAGAAAAUAUUUGCCAAUUAUGAACACUUACUUUUGAACAUACAUCCAAUCAAAUAUGGAUUGGGUGUAAGAACACAGAUUGUUGUUACUGGUGUCAUGUUGGGUGUUUAGGCUUUUCUAAAUGUACAAGGAGAACUUUUGCAAGAGUUCAGUGGCACUGUCCGCAACACAGGGACAUGUACUAUGCAACUCCAUUGAUUAAGUAUUUUAUACGCAAAAGGGUCAUAUUAUUUUAUUCCCCCCGGCGUCCGUCUGUCCGACCGUCACAAACUUGAAUUACUUCCCUUUUAUGUUACUAUAAAUAGCUUAAUUUGAACCUAUUUUAUUAUUUGCCGUACGGAAAAAGCGAAACCACUUUUCUUUGGUAUAACAUGGAUGGUACGUCCAAUUUUUAGGUGUAUUUUUACAUACUUGUACCUGGUAAGGAUAUUAUUGUGGGCUUUAAAUAUUUUUUGCGAACUUGGUGGUUUUUUGAUGAUCUUCCCUUUGUUUUUCCAGUCAUUUGGUCUUUAACAGUCGGGUUCUUUAAAAUUUGCUCCCAUCCUGCGAUGUAACCCUUUUAGAGUAUAUUGCCCCCUUUGGCUGAGCUCUUGGUCAGAAUAUUUAAAGUAUCACGUGAGUAAAUUAAUUAUUUUUCAACAUGCAUGGACAUACCACUGACACAAAAAUUUUGCUGUGUCCACUUUUUUGAACAUGGGUUUAUAUUAUUAUAUAUCUACGUCGUCAUUUCAAACUUUGAAAAAUAUUUUAUCAUAUGUUUAACGUGGCGGGAGUGUAAUAAAGCCAUUAAUUACUUUAAAAUGAUAAUACACUAGUGUAAUAAAGCUUUGACGUCGACUUCGUUUACAACACAGGAGACGUUGGUCAAAUUGACAUAUUUAUACAGUAAAUUGACAUAUUUAUACAGUAAAAGAAAGUAGACUUUUUCUAUUUCGACAGAAAAAGCUGACAUGUGAUAAAAAUAAUAUUACAGUCGUGACUUUCCAAGUUGAAUAUUAAACUCGUUGCAGAGCCUCGCAUUUUAUCAUUUUAUUCAACUCGUUUGAUAAAUUCAAAAUGAAUAGACUCUCAUGUAAUAUCCUCUAUAUAUUUCACACAUAACAGUAACUUAAUUUUAUCGCAAUUUUAACGUGUGGAAGUUGGAAGUCGGAAGUAAGAAGUCAAGAAGUUCGAAGUCAGAAGUGCGGGGCUGAUAUUUGAAGGCAUAAUACGUACCUAAAUCCUUCUUGUUCGGGAUCUUCUUUGAAGGCGUGUAAAACAGUACUAUUCUGUUUCAUCUGAUAAUAACAUUUACACUUACUUCAUACAGGUUACA